AAUAUUGGACAAUGGGGGCAACCCUGAUCCAGCCAUGCCGCGGGUGUGAAGAAGGUCUGCGGAUUGUAAAGCACUUUAAGUUGGGAGGAAGGGCUUUAGGUUAAUACCCUGAAGUUUUGACGUUACCAACAGAAUAAGCACCGGCAACCUCUGUGCCGGCAGCCGCGGUAAUACAGAGGGUGCAAGAGUUUAUCGGGAUUACUGGGCGUAAAGCGCGCGUAGGUGGUUCAGUAAGAUGGGUGUGAAAUCCCCGGGCUUAACCUGGGAACUGCUUUCAUAACUGCUGAGCUAGAGUACGGUAGAGAGUAGUGGAAUUUCCUGUGUAGCGGUGAAAUGCGUAGAUAUAGGAAGGAACACCAGUGGCGAAGGCGACUACCUGGACUGAUACUGACACUGAGGUGCGAAAGCGUGGGGAGCAAAC
rnacentral:rRNA from 1 species